CCAGGAUGCGGGAGGGGCCGAAACUCAGAGGGACUGGGAUGCAAAGGGAUGUGGAGACGCAGGGAGACAGGGAGAUGCGAGAGGGUGCCGAAGGUCAAUCUUAGUAAUCAAGACCACCAAAAUUAAUGCAAGAUAUCCACGAUGAACAAAAAUUUACCAUUUUAACAAAGACAGCAUCUGAUACAGUUGGAACUAGAGUGCAUCCCAACAAGACUUUCUCUUGAUUACUGUAUAUUUGGCACCCCUUAAACGUGGGGCCUGAGUGGAGCAAGGAGCUUCAACUGCUUCCUGGCUGGGCUUCCAGGUUGAACUGGGACCUGAUGAGAUCACCUAGUUGAUUCUAAUCCUGCUUAGAACGCACAGGUGGAACCUGGUGAGGGAGUCGGACUCCAGAACUCCUGCUUCUAUUUCAGCACACGUCCUUUCCACC